GACGAACGCUGGCGGCGUGCUUAACACCUGCAAGUCGAACGGAGUGGCGAACGGGUGAGUAACACGUGGGUGACCUGCCCUGCACUUCGGGAUCAGCCUGGGAAACUGGGUCUAAUACCGGAUAGUGUGGGAUGGGCCCGCGGCCUAUCAGCUUGUUGGUGGGGUAAUGGCCUCCCAAGUCCUCGACUGGUAGCCGGCCUGAGAGGGUGGACGUCAACAUUGGGACUGAGACACGGACCAGACUCCUACGGGAGGCAGCAGUGGGGAAUAUUGCACAAUUGGCGGAAGCCUGAUGCAGCGACGCCGCGUGGGGGAUGACGGCCUUCGGGUUGUAAACUCCUUUCACCAUCGACGCGGUAGAUGGAGAAGAAGCACCGGCUAACUACGUGAAAGCAGCCGCGGUAAUAC
rnacentral:rRNA from 1 species